CACGUAUUUGCUUUGUUAGGCCUGUCUUAACUAUCUCUACAUAUGAGGGAUCCUCCAGCCAAGAGUUAAAUAACCUAAACGGCUUAGCUCCUUUUUCCACCUGAGAUAAUGUGAUUAGCAUAGCUUUGUGGUCACUGGUUCCAUUGUGAAAUUCCACCCUUGCUUCAGGCCAAGUAUCAAUCCAAAUUUGGUUUGCAAAGACCCUAUCCAACUUUGUUUGAGUGAAACAAUGGGAUGAAGAAGAAACAAUGGGGCAUCUUUAAUUAAACUGCUAAUACUUCAAUGCUGUACUGUUUUCACUCAUAGAAACUCUGAAUUCAACUGUUUGGAUAAAACUUAACAUCCUACCCCACAAGACAGCAAUGAGGACAUCAUUGAGAGGAAUAGGGGAUAGAAAGGUUCAGCAAACAUUCAAGCUGUUGGAGUUUUAAUGAGCAGUUCUUGGCUCGCUUGGAACAUCUGGUGUGAGAGAAACAAAAAAUCCAAGCAAUACAUCCUCAGACCCCCGGAAGAACUCAUCCAGCAAGCAUAUCUCCAAGUGUUAAUGAAUGAAGGUGGAUUGAUGGUGGGCUAGAUCUAGAAUUUAGAAUAACAACUGAUGAUGUUAUUGCCAGUGUAAACACAGACACACACACAUAGUUAUUACACCACUAUACCCUUUUGUGAUAGAGAUUAGAGCACAUUUAUAAAGUCAAUAACUAACAUACUAAAAAAAUCUAAUUAUCUUUAUGUAAUUAACUUUAAUCGUUUCUUUGCGCUAAUACUAAGGAUGUUAGUAUCUACUUUGAUAUCCAAAACUCAAUCUGAAUCAGAUUAAGGUCAAUGAUGUAAUUUAAUGGGAAUUCUAUAUUUUGCGGUUUCAAUUAAUAGUUCUAUAAUGCUGUUGAAAAGUUGUGUAGGAUCAUGGUAGUGAUUUGGUGACCAUGCUUAAUUGCUCAUCUCCCAAUCCAUUAUGUAAGCUAGGCUUGGUCCUUAUUUUAUUGAAAAGUUUAACUGUAUGAGAAAAAAUGUUUGAGAGAAAAAAUGAUUUUUUUAAUGAUAAAUAAUUGGUAUCUUCAUGUGAUCAUUUUUUCCGAUGAAUUGAAAAUUUCAUAGCUGAAAAUAAAAUGGGUAGCUCAAAGUAAAUUGUAAGGAAAUGAAAUACAGGUAGUAAGGCUAAAAAGCAUAACAGAAUAUGUAAAGCAUUGUCACUCUCUUUUGUGGCUAUGACCCUGGCAUAUGUAACCAUGAACUGUCUUCAUGUGAUCAUGUCAAUGCAUGUCGAACCCCUAACUUCUAGUAGCAUACAUAAAUGUUUUCAUCCCUAAUAGAUUGAUUUUUGAAACAAUAAUUCAUA
rnacentral:lncRNA from 1 species